CCUACGGGAGACAGCAGUGAGGAAUAUUGGUCAAUGGACGAGAGUCUGAACCAGCCAAGUAGCGUGAAGGAUGACUGCCCUAUGGGUUGUAAACUUCUUUUAUAUGGGAAUAAAAUGUUCCACGUGUGGGAUUUUGUAUGUACCAUAUGAAUAAGGAUCGGCUAACUCCGUGCCAGCAGCCGCGGUAAUACGGAGGAUCCGAGCGUUAUCCGGAUUUAUUGGGUUUAAAGGGAGCGUAGGUGGAUUGUUAAGUCAGUUGUGAAAGUUUGCGGCUCAACCGUAAAAUUGCAGUUGAAACUGGCAGUCUUGAGUACAGUAGAGGUGGGCGGAAUUCGAGGUGUAGCGGUGAAAUGCUUAGAUAUCACGAAGAACUCCGAUUGCGAAGGCAGUUCACUGGACUGCAACUGACACUGAGGCUCGAAAGUGUGGGUAUCAAACAGGAUUAGAUACCCUAGUAGUC
rnacentral:rRNA from 1 species